GGACGAACGCUGGCGGCGUGCCUAACACGAUGCAAGUCGAGCGAGGAGAUCCUUCGGGAUGAUCCUAGCGGCGGACGGGUGAGUAACACGUGGGCAACCUGCCUCAUAGAGAGGAAUAGCCUUCCGAAAGGGAGAUUAAUACCUCAUAACAUUGCAGUUUCGCAUGGAACAGCAAUUAAAGGAGUAAUCCGCUAUGAGAUGGGCCCGCGGCGCAUUAGCUAGUUGGUGAGGUAACGGCUCACCAAGGCGACGAUGCGUAGCCGACCUGAGAGGGUGAUCGGCCACAUUGGGACUGAGACACGGCCCAGACUCCUACGGGAGGCAGCAGUGGGGAAUAUUGCACAAUGGGGGAAACCCUGAUGCAAGCAACGCCGCGUGAGUGAUGACGGCCUUCGGGUUGUAAAGCUCUGUCUUCAGGGACGAUAAUGACGGUACCUGAGGAGGAAGCCACGGCUAACUACGUGCCAGCAGCGGC
rnacentral:rRNA from 1 species